UACGGGAGGCAGCAGUGGGGAAUAUUGCACAAUGGGCGAAAGCCUGAUGCAGCUAUGCCGCGUGUAUGAAGAAGGCCUUAGGGUUGUAAAGUACUUUCAUCGGGGAGGAAAAAACAAAACUAAUAAUUUUAUUUCUUGACGUUACCCGAAAAAGAAGCACCGGCUAACUCCGUGCCAGCAGCCGCGGUAAUACGGAGGGUGCUAGCGUUAAUCAGAAUUACUGGGCGUAAAGAGCACGUAGGUGGUUUUUUUAAGUCAGAUGUGAAAUCCCCUGGGCUUAACCUAGGAACUGCAUUUUGAAACUGAAAUACUAGAGUAUCGUAGAGGGAGGUAGAAUUCUAGGUGUAGCGGUGAAAUGCGUAGAUAUCUGGAGGAAUACCUGUGGCGAAAGCGGCCUCCUAAACGAAUACUGACACUGAGGUGCGAAAGCGUUGGGGAGCAAACAGGGAUUUAGAUACC
rnacentral:rRNA from 1 species